ensembl:antisense 2600006K01Rik RIKEN cDNA 2600006K01 gene
UGUUUUGACUUUUUUAGACAGGGUACUGCAACCUCUGAUCCCAGCGUCCCAUGAGACCACACCCUUGGCUAUCAGAACCAGCCAGCCCCUCUCUCUACCCAGAGAAGCUUAGCAGUACCACUCAGAAGGGCACCCGAGCAUGCCGCCUGGAGCUGAGGGUUCCCUCCACCUGCUCUCUAGAAACCUCCAGUCUGACUGAUCCUUUCUAUGCUGGGCCCCAGGGGAUUCCAGAGGUUCAGUCUGUUCUACCGCACAUCAGGCAGACCACAGGUCUUUACUGCGAUGUACUGCCGAGCCCCAAGGGCUAGGUCAGAAAGGACAGGCCUAACUGAAACCCAGGGGAAACCCGGGAAGCCUGGGACGCCCGAGACAUGUAGGGAGCCCAAAGGAGGGGUGAGUGUCCCUGGGCUGAACCCUGGCCUCAGAGGUCUAUUCUUGCCCCGCGGGGUCUAGGAAUACUGUUGAAGGGCUGUCUGGGAGGGAGGAGCUUGUUCGGGUUGUGUCUGGGCAGAAGUAAUGAGGCCUCCAGGUCAAAAGCCUUCCUGGGUCCUGGGGCUUGAUGCCCAUAUGCACCCACCCCUGGAUCUCUCACCAGAGGGCCAGCCUGGCCCGGGGGUAGUCCAGGCGCUCCAGCGCACCCAGGUAGUGGGGCAGAGAGUGUUCAGCAUUGCGGGCCAGGAUGGCAAGGACCACGGUGGGUAGCGUCGGCUCUGUGACACUGGCAGCCCGGAGCUGCUGCCCCAACAGGAGCAGCAGAGGCCCUAGAGGUCCAGGGUUAGGCACCUGCUCCAGACGCGUCCUGGGGUCCGCCUUCUCCGUGUGGACCUCGGAAGGCGUUGGCACGGAAGGAAGGAUCCGUGGGCCAUGGUGGACCGCUUGUACCAUGGGCGUUCAUCUCACUCCUGGAAUACUGACACCCGGGAUUCCCGGCUCUCUGCCUCUCAGCGGUGGAGGCUGCAGUCUUCGCGAGGAGCCCAGGUUCCCGCCCCCUGCUCCAUCUGAGACGCCCUCUGGCGGCCUGAGGCAGUAACUCCACAUACCCAGCAGAUGACGCGAUGAGUUGGAGAGCAAGCCCAAGCUUGGGGGAGAGGACUGAGUGCAGCUGAUCUGGCCACUUCCGCGACCUCGCAUCACCUCCGCAGGCUCCGGCCCUUAAAGCAAAGCCCUUCUUUCAAUUGCUUUGUUUGUUUGUUUGUUUGUUUGUUUGUUUGUUUGUUUGUUUCGAGACAGGGUUUCUUCUCUGUGUAGCCCUGGCUAUCCUGGAACUCACUUUGUAGACCAGGCUGGCCUCGAACUCAGAAAUCCACCUGCCUCUGCCUCCCAAGUGCGGGAUUAAAAACGUGCGCCACCACCGCCCGGCUUCAAUUGCUUUUUAAUACAAUAAAAUUAAAGAUUGCAUCUUUAACUUCCCAAA